ACAACACAUGAUAACUAAUGGUUCUACAUACGAAUUGUUACGACGAUUGAAUCUGUUAGAAGAUAGAUCCAUUGUAUUUAAUAGGGACGAUUCGUUCGAUAUCAUGAGAGAGCAAGCUAAAGAAAAGGUGGUAAAGCAACAUGCGCGCAACGAAAAGACGUACAACAUGCGUAGUCGAGAAGUAUCGUAUGCGGUAGGUCAAGAAAUUUACCGUAGAAACUUCCAACAGAGCAAUUUUGCAAAAGGUUUCAAUGCCAAGUUAGCUCCAGCCUUCUUAAAAGCUCGAGUGAGAAGAAAACUAGGCUCGGCAUAUUAUGAGCUUGAGGAUUUACAAGGACGAAUUGUUGGAAAAUUUCAUGCGAAGGAUCUUAAACAAUAGUUUCCGCUCCAAGCGUGGAUCACCCUUGAUUGUCUAAUCAAGCGUGAUUUUAGUGGGGGGGAUUUGAAGUGUCGCUUGUCACAGUUUUGGGUUAGUCCGAAAGUAGCAUUAUCGGGGUUAGGAACUUGCUUUAAGUAGGGCCACCUACCCAUUAACCUAUCAAUGCAGUUUGGGUUCUAUCGAAAUUGCAAGCUUACACUGUAAUAGAUAAGAAAACGCAACCUGGGCAUACUAGUGAACGCCAUGCCGGUCGUUCUCUUUCCGUUUUAACCUUGGAGGUGAUCAGACGUACAGGUGCGACCAACCAAAAAAAAAAAAACACACCCACGUUUCUUUCUAAUUUUUUUUGUAUUUCGAUAUUCUUCGGUGAGUUAGUUUCUAAAGUGAAAUUCGCUUUUGCUAAUUAUUUUCGUCUUUAGUACCCAAGCCCAGAUUAGAAAUCCCACCAACUGUAUUUAAAUUUGGGGUUAGUUCGGUGCCAGAUCAAAGGUUCUGGCACCUUGUGCUACCCACAAGCAACCGCCGGCUCCAAGCCGUACCACCAGAGCAGCACGUCCAGCAGAGUAGCCGAUGCACAUCGAUCAUCAGAACAUCUCUUUUGGCCGAAGCCAUCGGUGUUCAAGUGUUAUUAGUGUGAAUUAAUCUACCCCCGCAAAAGUUCAGUGAAAAACAAAACCUGUAGCGAAAAACGAAAAAAAAAAAGGGAAAACAAAAGCCCCUCACAUUAAGCGGUUCAAUUUUUUUUUGGUUAUACCACGAGGUGGCUACACUGUGACAAACUAAUGGUGUUACCGCACGCAUUACAAAACAUGUGCUAAUACACUAAUAAAAUAAUUGGACACCAACGAUCGCCAAAACAAAAAGAAUGAAUUCAAUUUAAAACGUUACGAAAACUACGAGUUUACUAUACCCGAGAAAAAAAAAAAAAUUAUAUAUAUUUUAAAUAUAGAAUAAAUUAAAUUAUAAAUAGAUUAAAUUAAAUUAAAUAAAUAAAAAAAAAGGUAAAAAGUGAAAGUCAGUGGUGGAAAGAUUUGGCCAUGCCAGCUAGAAAAAAAAAAUAAAAUAAAAAAAAAAAAACUUUUUAAA